rnacentral:tRNA from 1 species
GGUGAGAUGGCCGAGUGGUCGAAGGCGCUCGACUCGAAAUCGAGUAGGCCCCAAAAGGGUCUCGAGGGUUCAAAUCCCUCUCUCACCG